UAAAAUGUACCUGGGCAAUGUGAGUAAAAUUGGGCGACGCCCCUGAUGACGUCAGAGGAGUUUGCGCAUGGUACAGAUAUUUGAAAAAAAGCAGACGGUUCCAGUAGAAGAGAGAUGAAAGCAUGAAAGCAUGGACCCUCGUCUAAUAAGAAUACUCGUGGAUUUUGAAUCAUAUAGCGGCACCAGAUUCCUAAAAGAAGGGAAUGUCACAUUCACUGCCAUGGACGCUGCUCAGUGGGCCAGUCUGUGAUGCGGCCAGAGGGGUGAUCCAGGAAGACUACUGGGAAGUUCAACUGUUGGUGCCUCCUUCUGUAGCGCGUUACAUUGAACACCACGUUGAAGUUAGACAGAAGCCGUCCUCCCGCCUGAUGGAGCUUCUGGAAGAGUCUGCAGAGAGGAGCUGAUUAAAGAGAACCAGG